AGCGAGAACGAAGCCCUGUGGCGAGAGGUGGCCAGCCUGCGGCAGAAGCAUGCCCAGCAGCAGAAAGUCGUCAACAAGGUGGGGCAGGGCUGGCGGUGGUGGGUCCCUCCACAGCAGGGCUGGAGUGACUAUAUCCUCUCUGCCCUACAGCUCAUUCAGUUCCUGAUCUCGCUGGUGCAGUCCAACCGGAUCCUGGGGGUGAAGAGAAAAAUGUGAGGCACUGGGGGUGCCUGUACCCUCUGCUCAGGCCCUGGGCCCUCCCUGUGCUCCGUCUGCUGCAUCCUAGCGAGCAGCUAACCCCCACCCCUUCCCCACAGCCCGCUGAUGUUGAGCGACAGCAGCUCCGCACACUCGGUGCCCAAGUAUGGCCGGCAGUACUCCCUGGAGCAUGUGCAUGGUCCAGGCCCAUACUCGGUAAGCACUAGGUUGGGCAGGACGGCCCCCACAGGUCGUGCAGGGUGCUUGCUGCGUGCUCCAGGGUGGCCACAGGCAGACCCUACACGUGACCCAGCCCCUACCUCUGUUUGCAGGCUCCAUCCCCAGCCUACAGCAGCUCCAGCCUCUAUACCCCAGACGUUGUUACCAGCUCUGGACCCAUAAUCUCCGACAUCACUGAGCUGGCUCCCGCCAGCCCUCUGGCCUCCCCAGGCAGGAGCAUAGAUGAGAGGUGGGGCUGUGUACCCCCCCCCCAGCCCUCCUGUCACCUCACUGGGCCAGCCCAUAUGAGCCCGGGGUAGAGUUGGGAGGGAGUGGUGCCCGCUGAGGUUCCUGCUAACGUGUCCCCCAACAUGUCCAGGCCCCUGUCCAGCAGUCCCCUGGUGCGUGUCAAGGAGGAGCCCCCCAGUCCACCUCGGACGCCCCGAGUGGAGGAGGCGAGUCCCAGGCACCCGUCCUCUGUGGACACCCCCUUGUCCCCAACUGCCCUCAUCGACUCCAUCCUGCGGGAGAGCGAGCCUGCCCCCACCUCAGCUACAGUCCCCACUGAUGCCGGAGGCCGCGUCCCCUCGUCCCCACCUCGCUCAGCCCCCGAGAAGUGCCUCAGCGUAGCCUGUCUGGACAAGUGAGUGCUGCCCCUGAGCACACAGCCUGAGCCUGUGCUGGGACUGCCCCGAGGGGUGGGGUACUGAACCCCCAGGCCCUGCAGGGGUAUGGGAUUUGCAAAUAGUAAGCAAACAGGAUUAGGGCCAGGGAGGGAGUUGAAUUUGGCCAGAUCACUCUACAAUCUGGGGCCCCUGCCCGCUGGCCACCCUUUUGGCUGCCAUCGCCCUCUCCUGCAAACCACAGGACCCUUGCCUGUCAUGCUGCCCAGACCAGCAGCAAGAGAUGGUGAGCCGGGCCUGGCUUUGACCCCUUUGGCCCUGUCCAGAGGCUGAGUGAGUGAGGAUGGUGGGCUCAGAGCCCACCCUCUGGCCCCCACCUGCAAUGGGGGGGCUCUUGUCUUUGUAUCUUGCAGUUUGGCUCGCGCUCCACAGAUGUCUGGGGUCGCCCGCCUCUUCCCCUGCCCCUCCUCUUCCUUUCUGCAUGGCCGAGUCCAGCCAGGGUUAGCGCGGCCCCCAUUGGGGAGGGAGGAGGGCUCUGUCAGAGCUCGGGCCCCUCCUGCAGCCAUGAAGCAGACCCUGCCCUGUGCACAGCACUCACCCUGUUUGUCAAGGGUGCCGGGGGAGGGCUUCCCAGGCUCUGCAUCCUCACUGACUUCCCAGGCAUGGGCCAAUGGCUGUGACUGGGACAAAACCCUACCUGGCCCAGCCACCAGUGCAGGCAGGAUCCAGGCUGCUGUGCUGCGCUUACUUUCGGGGUGGGGUGGGCCCAUGGCACCUGUAGAGCUGUCCUGGCUGUCCUUCCCAUGGCCCCCAGAUACCCCCAGCAGCACCAGGGGAGGUGCAGACCCAGUCAUGCUGAGGAUAGCCUGUCUGCCUUCUUUACUCUUCCAAGUGCUGUGGCAAGACCUUGUUAAGCCUGAAAAACUGCACUAGAGCUGAACCCCUCGUCCCCUGGUGCUUUCUUGCCCCAGCCUUGAUCACCCCCAAGGCCUUCCAGCCUUGUACCAGUAUCCUGUGGGCCAAGCUGCACCCUACCCUCAGUAGUCAUGGAGGACACAGAGCUCACCACUGCCCUUCCAGCACCUUCCAGUUGUGUGUGUAUAUAUACACAGACACACUGUCCCCCCAGCCCAUGCUGGGGGUGCCGAGGGGCCCCAUCUAGGGAAUGGGUGUAGCCAAGGGAGAGCCCUUCUCUACAGGAGUGUGUCUGGGGCUCUGGUUCACCUGCCCACUCACCCCGGGCCAGGAAUGAGCUCAGUGACCAUUUGGAUGCCAUGGAUUCCAACCUGGACAACCUGCAGACCAUGCUGACCAGCCAUGGCUUCAGUGUGGAUACCAGCGCCCUGCUGGACGUGAGUCUGCCCUAUCUUCUCCCUGCUCCACCCCAUUCUCUGUAAGCCAGCCCUGACUUCCCUCCCUCCCUCCUGCAGCUGUUCAGCCCCUCCGUGACCAUGCCCGACAUGAGCCUGCCUGACCUUGACAGCAGCCUGGCCAGCGUGCGUAGGCGGGCAGGGUGGGGGGCGGGGGCACCAGCAGCAGUCCUCAUCAUGUCCCUUCCACCCCACAGAUACAGGAGCUCCUGUCUCCCCAGGAGCCCCCCAGGCCUCUUGAGGCAGAAAACAAUGGCCCUGACUCAGGUGAGCCAAGCCCUGUGCCUGCCCCCCAUCCUCCCACCACCCAUAUGGCCCUGACCCCCACCCACCCACAGGGAAGCAGCUGGUGCAGUACACAGCACAGCCUCUGUUCCUGCUGGACCCGGACGCCGUGGACACGGGGAGCAGUGAACUACCUGUGCUCUUUGAGCUGGGGGAGGGCUCCUACUUCUCCGAGGGAGACGACUACACAGAUGAUCCCACCAUUUCCCUGCUGACAGGCUCUGAGCCCCCCAAAGCCAAGGACCCUACUGUCUCCUAGAGAUGCCAAGAGGGACUGGGAGGGCCUGUGGCCUGCUUCCACCCUUAGGACAGGUUUGGGGGAGGCAGGACAGGCACACAGCCUCCACAGCCCCAGUGGGGGAAGAGGGGCUCAGGGCUGGACAGUGCCUCCAGUCCAGAGUGAGGGCCCUUGGGCCUGCACACCUGCUGCCUUCGCCCAGCCCCGCAUCCCCAUGGCUUGUUUGGGGCUUCACAGUCACAACUUGGACUGAUUCUGCAGGUUGUUCAUAGAAUUGUAUUUUGGAUUUUUACAUGAGGGUCCCCCUUUCCCCUUCACAGAGAAAUAUAUACACACAGACGGACAGACAAGACGGGCAGAGAUCUAUAAACCGACAAGCUCUAUGCUAUGGCUUUC
rnacentral:lncRNA from 1 species